AGGAAGACUUUGGAAGCAAGUUUUUUCUACUAUAGUAAUUAAAAUUAAAAUGUGUAUUUUAGAUAAGAGUGGUAUUUCGAAGAAUUUAUUUAAAAAACUAUAUGUCUGAAGAUCCAAACAUUUAAGGUUAAAGAUGAAUACUCACAUUAUGACAGGAUUCAGAG